rnacentral:rRNA from 1 species
UAGAGGAAGUAAAAGUCGUAACAAGGUCUCCGUUGGUGAACCAGCGGAGGGAUCAUUACCGAGUUUACAACUCCCAAACCCAAUGUGAACGUUACCAAACUGUUGCCUCGGCGGGAUCUCUGCCCCGGGUGCGUCGCAGCCCCGGACCAAGGCGCCCGCCGGAGGACCAACCAAAACUCUUAUUGUAUACCCCCUCGCGGGGUUUUUUAUAAUCUGAGCCUUCUCGGCGCCUCUCGUAGGCGUUUCGAAAAUGAAUCAAAACUUUCAACAACGGAUCUCUUGGUUCUGGCAUCGAUGAAGAACGCAGCGAAAUGCGAUAAGUAAUGUGAAUUGCAGAAUUCAGUGAAUCAUCGAAUCUUUGAACGCACAUUGCGCCCGCCAGUAUUCUGGCGGGCAUGCCUGUCCGAGCGUCAUUUCAACCCUCGAACCCCUCCGGGGGGUCGGCGUUGGGGAUCGGCCCUCCCUUAGCGGGUGGCCGUCUCCGAAAUACAGUGGCGGUCUCGCCGCAGCCUCUCCUGCGCAGUAGUUUGCACACUCGCAUCGGGAGCGCGGCGCGUCCACAGCCGUUAAACACCCAACUUCUGAAAUGUGACCUCGGAUCAGGUAGGAAUACCCGCUGAACUUAAGCAUAUCA